GAUGAACGCUGGCGGCGUGCCUAAUACAUGCAAGUCGAACGAACAGAUGAGGCUCUUGCUCCUCUGACGUUAGCGGCGGGCGGGUGAGUAACACGUGGAUCACCUACCUAUCUGACUGGUAUCACUUCGGGAAACCGGAGCUAAUACCGGAUAAUAUAUUGAACCGCAUGGUUCAAUAGUGAGAGACGGUUUUUCUGUAUCUUAUAGAUGCAUCCGCGCCGAAUUAGCUAGUUGGUACGGUAACGGCUUACCAAGGCGACGAGGCGUAGCCGACGUGAGGGGGUGAUAGGCCGCCUGGGAGCUGAGACAGGGUCCAUAGGCCUACGGGAGGCAGCAGUAGGGUAUCUGCGGCAAAGGGCGAAAGCCUGACGGAACAGCGCCGCGUGAGUGAUGAAGGUCCUCGGAGCGUAAAGAUCGGUUAUUAGGGAAGAACAAAUGUGUAAGGAAAUAUGCACGUCUUGACGGUACCUAGUCAGAAAGCCACGGCUAACUACGUG
rnacentral:rRNA from 1 species